rnacentral:rRNA from 1 species
AGCGUACACGGUGGAUGCCCUGGCAGUCAGAGGCGAUGAAGGACGUGCUAAUCUGCGAUAAGCGUCGGUAAGGUGAUAUGAACCGUUAUAACCGGCGAUUUCCGAAUGGGGAAACCCAGUGUGUUUCGACACACUAUCAUUAACUGAAUCCAUAGGUUAAUGAGGCGAACCGGGGGAACUGAAACAUCUAAGUACCCCGAGGAAAAGAAAUCAACCGAGAUUCCCCCAGUAGCGGCGAGCGAACGGGGAGCAGCCCAGAGCCUGAAUCAGUGUGUGUGUUAGUGGAAGCGUCUGGAAAGGCGCGCGAUACAGGGUGACAGCCCCGUACACAAAAAUGCACAUGCUGUGAGCUCGAUGAGUAGGGCGGGACACGUGGUAUCCUGUCUGAAUAUGGGGGGACCAUCCUCCAAGGCUAAAUACUCCUGACUGACCGAUAGUGAACCAGUACCGUGAGGGAAAGGCGAAAAGAACCCCGGCGAGGGGAGUGAAAAAGAACCUGAAACCGUGUACGUACAAGCAGUGGGAGCACGCUUAGGCGUGUGACUGCGUACCUUUUGUAUAAUGGGUCAGCGACUUAUAUUCUGUAGCAAGGUUAACCGAAUAGGGGAGCCGAAGGGAAACCGAGUCUUAACUGGGCGUUAAGUUGCAGGGUAUAGACCCGAAACCCGGUGAUCUAGCCAUGGGCAGGUUGAAGGUUGGGUAACACUAACUGGAGGACCGAACCGACUAAUGUUGAAAAAUUAGCGGAUGACUUGUGGCUGGGGGUGAAAGGCCAAUCAAACCGGGAGAUAGCUGGUUCUCCCCGAAAGCUAUUUAGGUAGCGCCUCGUGAAUUCAUCUCCGGGGGUAGAGCACUGUUUCGGCAAGGGGGUCAUCCCGACUUACCAACCCGAUGCAAACUGCGAAUACCGGAGAAUGUUAUCACGGGAGACACACGGCGGGUGCUAACGUCCGUCGUGAAGAGGGAAACAACCCAGACCGCCAGCUAAGGUCCCAAAGUCAUGGUUAAGUGGGAAACGAUGUGGGAAGGCCCAGACAGCCAGGAUGUUGGCUUAGAAGCAGCCAUCAUUUAAAGAAAGCGUAAUAGCUCACUGGUCGAGUCGGCCUGCGCGGAAGAUGUAACGGGGCUAAACCAUGCACCGAAGCUGCGGCAGCGACGCUGAUGCGUUGUUGGGUAGGGGAGCGUUCUGUAAGCCUGUGAAGGUGUGCUGUGAGGCAUGCUGGAGGUAUCAGAAGUGCGAAUGCUGACAUAAGUAACGAUAAAGCGGGUGAAAAGCCCGCUCGCCGGAAGACCAAGGGUUCCUGUCCAACGUUAAUCGGGGCAGGGUGAGUCGACCCCUAAGGCGAGGCCGAAAGGCGUAGUCGAUGGGAAACAGGUUAAUAUUCCUGUACUUGGUGUUACUGCGAAGGGGGGACGGAGAAGGCUAUGUUGGCCGGGCGACGGUUGUCCCGGUUUAAGCGUGUAGGCUGGUUUUCCAGGCAAAUCCGGAAAAUCAAGGCUGAGGCGUGAUGACGAGGCACUACGGUGCUGAAGCAACAAAUGCCCUGCUUCCAGGAAAAGCCUCUAAGCAUCAGGUAACAUCAAAUCGUACCCCAAACCGACACAGGUGGUCAGGUAGAGAAUACCAAGGCGCUUGAGAGAACUCGGGUGAAGGAACUAGGCAAAAUGGUGCCGUAACUUCGGGAGAAGGCACGCUGAUAUGUAGGUGAAGUCCCUCGCGGAUGGAGCUGAAAUCAGUCGAAGAUACCAGCUGGCUGCAACUGUUUAUUAAAAACACAGCACUGUGCAAACACGAAAGUGGACGUAUACGGUGUGACGCCUGCCCGGUGCCGGAAGGUUAAUUGAUGGGGUUAGCCGCAAGGCGAAGCUCUUGAUCGAAGCCCCGGUAAACGGCGGCCGUAACUAUAACGGUCCUAAGGUAGCGAAAUUCCUUGUCGGGUAAGUUCCGACCUGCACGAAUGGCGUAAUGAUGGCCAGGCUGUCUCCACCCGAGACUCAGUGAAAUUGAACUCGCUGUGAAGAUGCAGUGUACCCGCGGCAAGACGGAAAGACCCCGUGAACCUUUACUAUAGCUUGACACUGAACAUUGAGCCUUGAUGUGUAGGAUAGGUGGGAGGCUUUGAAGUGUGGACGCCAGUCUGCAUGGAGCCGACCUUGAAAUACCACCCUUUAAUGUUUGAUGUUCUAACGUUGACCCGUAAUCCGGGUUGCGGACAGUGUCUGGUGGGUAGUUUGACUGGGGCGGUCUCCUCCUAAAGAGUAACGGAGGAGCACGAAGGUUGGCUAAUCCUGGUCGGACAUCAGGAGGUUAGUGCAAUGGCAUAAGCCAGCUUGACUGCGAGCGUGACGGCGCGAGCAGGUGCGAAAGCAGGUCAUAGUGAUCCGGUGGUUCUGAAUGGAAGGGCCAUCGCUCAACGGAUAAAAGGUACUCCGGGGAUAACAGGCUGAUACCGCCCAAGAGUUCAUAUCGACGGCGGUGUUUGGCACCUCGAUGUCGGCUCAUCACAUCCUGGGGCUGAAGUAGGUCCCAAGGGUAUGGCUGUUCGCCAUUUAAAGUGGUACGCGAGCUGGGUUUAGAACGUCGUGAGACAGUUCGGUCCCUAUCUGCCGUGGGCGCUGGAGAACUGAGGGGGGCUGCUCCUAGUACGAGAGGACCGGAGUGGACGCAUCACUGGUGUUCGGGUUGUCAUGCCAAUGGCACUGCCCGGUAGCUAAAUGCGGAAGAGAUAAGUGCUGAAAGCAUCUAAGCACGAAACUUGCCCCGAGAUGAGUUCUCCCUGACUCCUUGA